rnacentral:rRNA from 1 species
UGGUGCAUGGUUGUCGGUCAGCUCGUGUCGUGAGAUGUUGGGUUAAGUCCCGCAACGAGCGCAACCCCUAUUGUUAGUUGCCAUCAUUCAGUUGGGCACUCUAGCGAGACUGCCGGUAAUAAACCGGAGGAAGGUGGGGAUGACGUCAAAUCAUCAUGCCCCUUAUGACCUGGGCUACACACGUGCUACAAUGGUUGGUACAACGAGUUGCGAGUCGGUGACGGCGAGCUAAUCUCUUAAAGCCAAUCUCAGUUCGGAUUGUAGGCUGCAACUCGCCUACAUGAAGUCGGAAUCGCUAGUAAUCGCGGAUCAGCACGCCGCGAUGAAUACGUUCCCGGGCCUU